ACUCCUACGGGAGGCAGCAGUGGGGAAUAUUGCACAAUGGGCGCAAGCCUGAUGCAGCCAUGCCGCGUGUAUGAAGAAGGCCUUCGGGUUGUAAAGUACUUUCAGCAGUGAGGAAGGUGGGUAUGUUAAUAGCAUAUUCAUUUGACGUUAGCUGCAGAAGAAGCACCGGCUAACUCCGUGCCAGCAGCCGCGGUAAUACGGAGGGUGCGAGCGUUAAUCGGAAUUACUGGGCGUAAAGCGCAUGCAGGUGGUUUGUUAAGUCAGAUGUGAAAGCCCGGGGCUCAACCUCGGAAUUGCAUUUGAAACUGGCAAACUAGAGUACUGUAGAGGGGGUAGAAUUUCAGGUGUAGCGGUGAAAUGCGUAGAGAUCUGAAGGAAUACCGGUGGCGAAGGCGGCCCCCUGGACAGAUACUGACACUCAGAUGCGAAAGCGUGGGGAGCAAACAGGAUUAGAUACCCUGGUAGACUCUGC
rnacentral:rRNA from 1 species